ACGAACGCUGGCGGCAUGCCUAACACAUGCAAGUCGAACGAGACCUUCGGGUCUAGUGGCGCACGGGUGCGUAACGCGUGGGAAUCUGCCCCUCGGUUCGGAAUAACAGUUAGAAAUGACUGCUAAUACCGGAUGAUGACGAAAGUCCAAAGAUUUAUCGCCGAGGGAUGAGCCCGCGUAAGAUUAGCUAGUUGGUAGGGUAAAGGCCUACCAAGGCGACGAUCUUUAGCUGGUCUGAGAGGAUGAUCAGCCACACUGGGACUGAGACACGGCCCAGACUCCUACGGGAGGCAGCAGUGGGGAAUAUUGGACAAUGGGCGAAAGCCUGAUCCAGCAAUGCCGCGUGAGUGAUGAAGGCCUUAGGGUUGUAAUGCUCUUUUGGCGGGGACGAUAAUGACGGUACCCGCAGAAUAAGCCCCGGCUAACUUCGU
rnacentral:rRNA from 1 species